UUUAAAGAAAGCGUAAUAGCUCACUAGUCGAGUCGUCUUGCGCGCAAGAUGUAACGGGGCUAAAACUGAUAACCGAAGCUGCGGAUGCAAGUAAUUGCAUGGUAGGGGAGCGUUCUGUAGGCCAGAGAAGGUAGACUGAGAAGUUUACUGGAGGUAUCAGAAGAGCGAAUGUUGACAUGAGUAACGAUAAAGCGAGUGAAAAGCUCGUUCGCCGAAAGCCCAAGGAUUCCUACGUGACGUUAAUCGGCGUAGGGUAAGUCGGCCCCUAAGGUCAGGCAGAAAUGCGUAGCUGAUGGGAAACGGGUUAAUAUUCCCGUACUUUUUAAUAGUAAGCGAAGUGGGGACGAAGAAGGAUAGGUUAUCAAUCUGUUGGAAUAGAUUGUCCAAGCAUGUAGGU
rnacentral:rRNA from 17 species